rnacentral:rRNA from 1 species
GAUGAACGCUAGCGGCAGGCCUAAUACAUGCAAGUCGAACGAUAGAAGAGGGCUUGCUCUCUUCGAAAGUGGCGCACGGGUGCGUAACGCGUAUGCAACCUACCUUAAUCAGGGGGAUAGCCCGAAGAAAUUCGGAUUAACACCGCAUAAAAUCACAGUACAGCAUUGUACAAUGAUCAAAUAUUUAUAGGAUUAAGAUGGGCAUGCGUGACAUUAGCUAGUUGGCGGGGUAACGGCCCACCAAGGCGACGAUGUCUAGGGGAUCUGAGAGGAUGACCCGCCACACUGGUAAUGAGACACGGACCAGACUCCUACGGGAGGCAGCAGUAAGGAAUAUUGGUCAAUGGAGGCGACUCUGAACCAGCCAUGCCGCGUGCAGGAAGACAGCCCUCUGGGUCGUAAACUGCUUUUAUUCGGGAAUAAACCUACUUACGUGUAAGUAGCUGAAUGUACCGAAGGAAUAAGGAUCGGCUAACUCCGUGCCAGCCGCCGCGGUAA